UCUUGGACAGACUCUAACAAACCGAUCGGCGACGCUAUAGCUUUGGGUAAUUUCAGGACCCGUCUUGAAACACGGACCAAGGAGUCUAGCAUGUACGCAAGUCAUUGGGAAUUACUAAACCUAAAGGCGAAAUGAAAGUGAAGAUCUUUCUUUUGAGAGAUCGAGGGAAGACGAGGAAUCCUGCGGGGUUCUUCUGCAUUCCCGGAGCGUCUCAUUCUCAUUGCGAGAGGAGGCGCACCAAGAGCGUACACGCUGGGACCCGAAAGAUGGUGAACUAUGCCUGGUCAGGA
rnacentral:rRNA from 1 species